UGUGUAGGCGGCUUUUUAAGUUUGGUGUGAAAUCUCCCGGCUCAACUGGGAGGGUGCGCCGAAUAACUGAAAGGCUCGAGUGCGGGAGAGGAGAGUGGAAUUCCUGGUGUAGCGGUGAAAUGCGUAGAUAUCAGGAGGAACACCGGCGGUGUAGACGGCUCUCUGGACCGUAACUGACGCUGAGACACGAAAGCGUGGGUAGCAAACAGGAUUAGAUACCCUGGUAGUCCACGCCCUAAACGAUGCACAUUUGGUGUGGGCAGUUCAUUCUGUCCGUGCCGGAGCUAACGCGUUAAAUGUGCCGCCUGGGGAGUACAGUCGCAAGGCUGAA
rnacentral:rRNA from 1 species